GCCAGUGUGGCUUAGUGGUUUGAGUGUUGGACUACAACUCAAGACCAGGGUUCAAUUCCCUACUCGCCCA